rnacentral:rRNA from 1 species
GACGAACGCUGGCGGCGUGCCUAAUACAUGCAAGUAGAACGCUGAAGAGAGGAGCUUGCUCUUCUUGGAUGAGUUGCGAACGGGUGAGUAACGCGUAGGUAACCUGCCUUGUAGCGGGGGAUAACUAUUGGAAACGAUAGCUAAUACCGCAUAACAAUGGAUGACACAUGUCAUUUAUUUGAAAGGGGCAAUUGCUCCACUACAAGAUGGACCUGCGUUGUAUUAGCUAGUAGGUGAGGUAACGACUCACCUAGGCGACGAUACAUAGCCGACCUGAGAGGGUGAUCGGCCACACUGGGACUGAGACACGGCCCAGACUCCUACGGGAGGCAGCAGUAGGGAAUCUUCGGCAAUGGGGGCAACCCUGACCGAGCAACGCCGCGUGAGUGAAGAAGGUUUUCGGAUCGUAAAGCUCUGUUGUAAGUCAAGAACGAGUGUGAGAGUGGAAAAUUCACACUGUGACGGUAGCUUACCAGAAAGGGACGGCUAACUACGUGCCAGCAGCCGCGGUAAUACGUAGGUCCCGAGCGUUGUCCGGAUUUAUUGGGCGUAAAGCGAGCGCAGGCGGUUUGAUAAGUCUGAAGUUAAAGGCUGUGGCUCAACCAUAGUUCGCUUUGGAAACUGUCAAACUUGAGUGCAGAAGGGGAGAGUGGAAUUCCAUGUGUAGCGGUGAAAUGCGUAGAUAUAUGGAGGAACACCGGUGGCGAAAGCGGCUCUCUGGUCUGUAACUGACGCUGAGGCUCGAAAGCGUGGGGAGCGAACAGGAUUAGAUACCCUGGUAGUCCACGCCGUAAACGAUGAGUGCCAGGUGUUGGAUCCUUUCCGGGAUUCAGUGCCGCAGCUAACGCAUUAAGCACUCCGCCUGGGGAGUACGACCGCAAGGUUGAAACUCAAAGGAAUUGACGGGGGCCCGCACAAGCGGUGGAGCAUGUGGUUUAAUUCGAAGCAACGCGAAGAACCUUACCAGGUCUUGACAUCCCGAUGCUAUUUCUAGAGAUAGAAAGUUACUUCGGUACAUCGGUGACAGGUGGUGCAUGGUUGUCGUCAGCUCGUGUCGUGAGAUGUUGGGUUAAGUCCCGCAACGAGCGCAACCCCUAUUGUUAGUUGCCAUCAUUCAGUUGGGCACUCUAGCGAGACUGCCGGUAAUAAACCGGAGGAAGGUGGGGAUGACGUCAAAUCAUCAUGCCCCUUAUGACCUGGGCUACACACGUGCUACAAUGGUUGGUACAACGAGUUGCGAGUCGGUGACGGCAAGCUAAUCUCUUAAAGCCAAUCUCAGUUCGGAUUGUAGGCUGCAACUCGCCUACAUGAAGUCGGAAUCGCUAGUAAUCGCGGAUCAGCACGCCGCGGUGAGUACGUUCCCGGGCCU